UACGUAGGCAGCGAGCGUUGUUCGGAGUUACUGGGCGUAAAGCGUGCGUAGGCGGUAGUCCAAGUCUGGUGUGAAAUCUCCCGGCUUAACUGGGAGGGUGCGCCGGAAACUGGGCUGCUGGAGUGCGGGAGAGGUAAGCGGAAUUCCCGGUGUAGUGGUGAAAUGCGUAGAUAUCAGGAGGAACACCAAUGGCGAAGGCAGCUCACUGGGACGGUACUGACGCUGAGACGCGAAAGCGUGGGGAGCAAACAGG
rnacentral:rRNA from 1 species